rnacentral:lncRNA from 1 species
AAAGCAGUGAGAAAUUGAGGGGGUAGGUGAGGUAGAACUGGUGGGUUGGUACACAUUUUUCUAUUACUUAAACAUAUUUCCCACAAAAUUGCUUCUUUACAAAUCUCAACCUUUCCUCCUCUUCUUCUUCUUCUUCUCCCAUGGCUUCCUCUCUCUCUUCUAAACCGUUUCUGGGUUCUUCCAGAACCGAAGGCUUUUCUGGAUUGACCUCUCUCUCUACAGAUCUUUCCAAGCUUUCCUUUUCCGCCGUUAAAAUCUCAGUUGGGUCUCGAAACG